rnacentral:rRNA from 1 species
AACGAACGCUGGCGGCAGGCCUAACACAUGCAAGUCGAGCGAGACCUUCGGGUCUAGCGGCGGACGGGUGAGUAACGCGUGGGAACGUGCCCUUUUCUGCGGAAUAGCCUCGGGAAACUGAGCGUAAUACCGCAUACGCCCUUUGGGGGAAAGAUUUAUCGGAAAAGGAUCGGCCCGCGUUGGAUUAGGUAGUUGGUGGGGUAAUGGCCUACCAAGCCUACGAUCCAUAGCUGGUUUGAGAGGAUGAUCAGCCACACUGGGACUGAGACACGGCCCAGACUCCUACGGGAGGCAGCAGUGGGGAAUCUUAGACAAUGGGGGCAACCCUGAUCUAGCCAUGCCGCGUGAGUGAUGAAGGCCUUAGGGUUGUAAAGCUCUUUAAGCUGGGAAGAUAAUGACGGUACCAGCAGAAGAAGCCCCGGCUAACUCCGUG